AAGACCCCUGAUGCACUGACUUUGAGUUAAUUAGUAGGGAGACUAUCUUGGAAGAGACUGACCUAAGCAGAUGAUCUUUUUAAAUGAAUCAGAGAGUUUUGAAGCUCGCAAUGUUCCUGGGGGUCUCAGGAGAGAAGUGCCGUACUAUGGAGGUGCCCAGGCGACAAGGCUCUAAGACCAGCCUCUGAGGAGUCUAGAGUGUUUGCAGCUGGCAGUACACCAGCCAGCAGCAUCUCAGUCCUACAACCGCCAGGGCCUGAAUUCUGCCAGGAAUCUACAUGAUUUGGGAAGAGGACCCCAAACCACAGCUGGGUUCUCAGUCCUGGCCACCACCUUAGUUUCUCAGCUUUGUGUGAUUCCUAGCAGAAGACUUGCUCACAUUGUGCCUGGAUUUCUGACUAUGAGUAAACUGAGACACAAGAAUGAAAGUGACUUUCCUGAAAUCUCCUAGCUGGUACCCCCAGCAAACGACUGUCCUCAAGAAGCUCAUAACCCGGAGGCAGAACAGGAA